GAUGAACGCUGGCGGCGUGCCUAAUACAUGCAAGUCGAGCGAACAGACGAGGAGCUUGCUCCUCUGACGUUAGCGGCGGACGGGUGAGUAACACGUGGAUAACCUACCUAUAAGACUGGGAUAACUUCGGGAAACCGGAGCUAAUACCGGAUCAUAUAUUGAACCGCAUGGUUCAAUAGUGAAAGACGGUUUUGCUGUCACUUAUAGAUGGAUCCGCGCCGCAUUAGCUAGUUGGUAAGGUAACGGCUUACCAAGGCAACGAUGCGUAGCCGACCUGAGAGGGUGAUCGGACACACUGGAACUGAGACACGGUCCAGACUCCUACGGGAGGCAGCAGUAGGGAAUCUUGCGCAAUGGGCGAAAGCCUGACGGAGCAACGCCGCGUGAGUGAAGAAGGUCUUCGGAUUGUAAAGCUCUGUUAGUAGGGAGGAACAGAUGUGUGAGAAAAUCUGCAUGUUUUGACGGUACCUAAACAGAAAGCAACGGCUAACUACGUG
rnacentral:rRNA from 1 species